UCUUUUCGCGCCUUAAGACAGGCAGGCUCUGACGAUGAACAGCAAUUGAAAACGACCCAUUUCACCCUUUUUCCAGUCCACGUGAACUGCUAGAUCUUGGCUUUGCAACAUUAGCCAGGGGCGCUACAUAAACUGCUUAGUUUCUCAAAGGCUCAAGCCUGCCCUGAUCUGUCUACAGGCUGGGUAGAGAUGGUCACAGACAUUUAGGCACUUUGAUCCUAAGAAGAAUGGAAAGAAACCAUGUGGGCGCGGCAGUCUUACAGGAAUUUCAAGAGGGAGGGACCUGAGCAACAAUCGGAGGGGUUAUUACUCCUGAGGAUGCAUCUGGCUGGAGAAAGCAGCCUUUGAGAACUGCCUAAGAAGUAUCUACAUCUACAUCAGAUGUAGCCUCAGAGGAAGGAGUCAGUCACAGAAUGGAUAAAACAACCGCGUGUUAAAGCUUUGGUUAUAAUUGGUGUGGAGAAUGGAGAACACAGUUGAUCAGCGGCUGACAAAGUGGGGAACCAACACUAAAACAGGGCUCUCUCACCCUGGAAAAGCCAAAGGCAGAACAAGCCUUUACAUCCAGGAAGAAACACAAAAUGAUCCUCUGACAAGUGAUGAAGAAGACUGGGAAGAUGUGAAAAUCCAAGCAAGAAGAACUUAUGGGAAGCAACUCAACAUCUAAGAAGAAAUGAAUAGGGAUCAG
rnacentral:lncRNA from 1 species